AGAGAGAGAGAGAGAGAACAAAACAACCGAGACAAACUCUUGAUGCUCCUUGCUUGGCGUUGAGGCUGUGGGGAAGAUGCCUUUGGGAGGGGCUGUAGCUCAGGGCGUGCACUGUGAGGCUGGACCUGUGGACACUGCAGUGGGCAUCCAUUUAGCUUCAGGUUGUCUUGUUUCUGUAUAUAGUGACCUAGCAUUCUGCUGCCAUUCUUAGCUGUGGAAAAGGGGGGGUCAGCUGGCAUGAGAAGUGUUUGGAUCCUUUUUAGUUAAGUGCGGUAGUUUUAAACUGUUUGUUUUUAAACAAACUGUAGAACUCUUCAUUGUCAGCAAAGCGAAGAGCCACUGCAUCAAUGAAAGUUCAAGAACCUUCUGUACUAAACACGACUUGCAACGUUCUGUUAUUUUUUUUGUAUGUUUAGAAUGCUGAAAUGUUUUUGAAGUUAAAUAAACAGUAUUACAUUUUUAAAACUGUUCUCUAUUAUGACAGUCUAAAUCUCUGACUCACAGAAAGCAGUCUUAGCUAACAACCCACUCCAUUGUAUUUGGUGACUAGCCCCCCCUGCACAUCUGGUACCUUCUCUUCAUGUGGCCAGCUUGCUUAGGAUAGAGCUGAAGAGGCUCCUUGAAGGUACUGCAUGAUUUUGUUUGGGGCUAAGUGGCAUUAAGAUAAAGUCUGAACUGCGGGGUGUAGAAGCCAAGAGAACUUGACCCCAGGCAAGUUUUCCCAGCCUUUGAAGGUACAGGAAGGUGGGUGGUUAGGAUUGAGGCUGACUACUAUGUAGGUUUAAUGGGUUUUUGUUCUGGUUUGGUUUGGUUUGUUUUUUUGUUAUUUUUUUUGUGUGUGUGUGCCUCCUGCCACCAAUGCUCCCUCCCCUCAUGCUGUGGGGCCAGAUUCAUUGCUAAACAGCAAAAAUAUCCUCCUAAGGGUACGGUGUAUCAGAUGUUCAGGCUUUUUUUCCUGUCUCAUCGCCCCUGACCCCGGUCCGUGUAGCAGAGUAUCAUUUGUUCUGUUCGACAGUUGAGGUCUUGAGCUACCGCUUCUGCCUCCUGGACCCCAGUGAGGGGAAGGGUGGUAGGAGUGGCGAACGAUAUCCAUUGGUUUUCCUACUACUUUGAGAAACUGAACACCCCGAGGAAGGUGGCUGGGGUCCCUGUGGCAGGCUCUGCCUUGGGCCACCUGUACUGCAGGCAGACUGACGAGAUGGAUUGUUUCUAAGAAGCAUUAGAUGAAUCCUAUGAAAAGUAGGAUGGCCUGCCCACAAUUUUGAGCUCAUUGAUUGCAAAUGUAGGUGGUUGUUAAAUGUUGUUAAACUGGAAGAAGCUUGGUCCGUGUUUCAGUGGUUAUUUUAUGUUGGUGAAUGAUGUUGACAUUUUGUCCCAGUUGGGGAAAGAGGUGAGGCGAUGGCCACAGUGGCAAGCGGUGACAUUAAAAAUCCUUUCGAGGGCUGGUCCAUCUUUACUGUUGGCAGGAAGGAAGGGCCUUGUGUUGUGGGUGAGAGUACUGCCUAGCGUGAAUACUCUGUGUGCGUUGGAGGCUGUGAAGCACUCGGGAGUGUUUUUGUGACCUCAGGAGGAAGCUUUUUCUGAAAAUUCACAAUUUGGAACCCUGUGUGUCUGCAGGCUAUAUGUCCUCCCCACUCUGUCAGGUCCUGGAUGGGUAUGUCCCGGUCACGGUCACUGGCCCAAUCUCUCGCCGAUAAUUAUAGCCAUUCCCAUUCCUUUGCACAUCAGAACUGUUUGUCCUAAAUGUGUUUUUCUAGCUCUUUUAGAAGAUGACCACUAAUUUAGAAACCCUCGGUCUUGAGGUUUGCCCAGAGGCACUUGUUCGAGGUGCCCUCCUGCUUCAGCUGGUGCCGCUGCUGCCCGGCUUAGGUGUACCAAGAUUUGGGAACUGGUUAACCUCAUCAAAUAUGGAAGAGGAGCUCACUUGUCCCAAAGGAGAGCUGACUUGCUAAGUGGCGCCUGCCGGGCUGUAGCAUCUUUGCGCCCCUCUGCCUUUGUGCUAAACAAGUAGGGGAGCUGCUUAAGUGAUCUUUGUGCGGAUGUAGAGUUCUAAAAAGAUUCUAGUUAAGGCCACUUGGCUCAUGUUUUCACCCCAGCACGAAGUUGUUCCUCUUACUGGAAUGAUGCUCCGGAGCUUCUCUGAGACGUGACAAGUGGCGUGGUGUCAACCAUCUAAGGCUUCAGCUCAGCCUGAUUACUGGGCCCACAGUAUGUGAUCUCGCGAUGCCAACCUGUUACUUUAUUAUUAUUUUUUAAUCAAAAGGACAGUACCUGCUUUCUCUAACCAGCUCUCUCCCAGCCCCCUCACCCCAUGUUUGAAUGAUGUUUUAUCUUUUGGAAAGAACAAGGCUGUGAUGUAGCAACUAUUGUCUGUGUCUCCUGUGUGUCUGUUCUUGUCACAAAUGUAUUUGGGGACAUUGGAUGCAUUCAUUUUCUGUAAUAAAGUUUCUUAAUCAGUCUUCCCAAAAAGUAA
rnacentral:lncRNA from 1 species